CCUCUGCCUCCCGAGUGCUGGGAUUAAAGGCGUGCGCCACCAACGCCCGGCUCUGUGUUUUGUUUCUUAGUCAUUCUGGUUGCUGCAUGUUAGACCCUCAGGAUAAUUUGCGUUUUCCUGAUGAGUAAUGAAGUUGUAGAUGGCUGGUUGUUGUUUCUAAGCCUGUGGGAGACCCAUACUGUAGAAGGCACAAUGAUGCAAAGUUCCCAUCUUAAGAGGGCUAUGCAGCUAAUAGGAAAAGUGCCUGCACUGGCAGACUUCAGCCUUCCUCCACUUCCAUCCACGGGACAGCGUCACCCACAUUCAAGAUGAGUUUUCCCAUUCCUUCCCACCAAGAGCAGUCAAGCACCAUGCUCAGUUUUCAGAUGGAUCCAGCUGGCCGUGGUCUGCAGCCGCACGUUAAGAAACCAAAUUCUGAAAGUUGAACCAAAUCGAAAAGCAAAACUUGAAUUUGCUGUCGGCCAGAUACUGUGACAAAUGCAUGGAAAGGAAGAGAGGUGUAGGUGCUGUGUCCGGUGUGGAAAGCCAUCGAGAGACUUUAAAGUGCAGGUGAGGACUGCAUUAGUUAUAUUCAGAUGCUGAGCCGUUUUUACCUGGGAAGAGUCUUGAGCAUCAUGGGUGUUGGUAUGCACAAAUAGUCCAAGAACCUAUCUCUCAAUGAAGAGUAAGCUGGAGAGGUCACAGCCACAAAAGCUUUGCAACACUGUGCAAGGACAGAAUCUGAUUGCAAUGGGGCAAGACUUUCUUCUGCUCUCACUUCCCCUUUACCUCACUUACAAGCACCCUAUGCGGAGACUUUCCACAGUAUUUUUGGAACAACGCCGAGAUGAAGCUGGAUUGGAGGCAUAUUUAGCUUGGCUUUAAGGCGAUAUAUUUAGUUGGCUUCCAGUCACCUCUGUACAUAGAUAAUUUAUUGCUAUUCAUAGGAAUUGCUUCUAGAAAUACUCUGUAACUGAAGUGCCAACUCAUGCCACAUCGUGAUACGAAGGCACACAGAUGGAAGUCUACCACUGGGUGCCUGUGCAGUGGAGAAUCUGGCCCUGGAAAUGAGAGGGAAAUGAGGGGCCGUCUAGACUUUCGGUUACAGCAGUGGUAGGUGGUCAGUCUGUGGGGGUUCCUCCCUUAGCAACCACGCACAACAAGUGUAAGCCAGAAUCUCCAUCACCCUGGCUAUCAGUGAGUUAGGAAAUUCUGACUCUUUAGACCACAAACCUAUAGGAGUUUUCUAAAUGGCAUGUCCUGCUGUGGGACACAGGCUUACGCAUCUCAACUAUUUAAACCUAAAAAGAAGUCUGGUAUGACAUAUUAGUGAAAGACUAUACUGCCUUUCUAUUGUUUUUUUUUCUCCUUAAAAUUGCUAUGUGAUAAAGAGACUAGCAAAGAUUAAGUAUUCAAAAUAGUAUUGGGAAAUAUUAUAAUAAUGUAUGAUAGCUAAUUAAAACAAUGUGUCAUAUA
rnacentral:lncRNA from 1 species